UACGAAGGGGGCUAGCGUUGUUCGGAAUUACUGGGCGUAAAGCGCACGUAGGCGGACUUUUAAGUCAGAGGUGAAAUCCCGGAGCUCAACUUCGGAACUGCCUUUGAUACUGGAGGUCUUGAGUAUGGAAGAGGUAAGUGGAAUUCCGAGUGUAGAGGUGAAAUUCGUAGAUAUUCGGAGGAACACCAGUGGCGAAGGCGGCUUACUGGUCCAUUACUGACGCUGAGGUGCGAAAGCGUGGGGAGCAAAC
rnacentral:rRNA from 1 species